rnacentral:rRNA from 1 species
UACGUAGGCAGCGAGCGUUGUUCGGAAUUACUGGGCGUAAAGGGCGCGUAGGCGGAUGACACAGUCAGAUGUGAAAUUCCCGGGCUUAACCUGGGGGCUGCAUUUGAUACGUGUGAUCUAGAGUGAGGAAGAGGGUCGUGGAAUUCCCAGUGUAGAGGUGAAAUUCGUAGAUAUUGGGAAGAACACCGGUGGCGAAGGCGGCGACCUGGUCCUUGACUGACGCUGAGGCACGAAAGCGUGGGGAGCAAACAGG